rnacentral:rRNA from 1 species
UACGUAGGGGGCAAGCGUUGUCCGGAUUUAUUGGGCGUAAAGAGCUCGUAGGCGGUUUGGCAAGUCGGGUGUGAAACCUCCAGGCUCAACCUGGAGACGCCACUCGAUACUGCUAUGACUUGAGUCUGGUAGGGGAUCACGGAAUUCCCGGUGUAGCGGUGAAAUGCAUAGAUAUCAGGAGGAACACCGGUGGCGAAGGCGGUGAUCUGGGCCAGUACUGACGCUGAGGAGCGAAAGCGUGGGGAGCGAACAGG